rnacentral:rRNA from 1 species
CGGGCGUCUUAACAUGCAAGUCGAGCGAACAGAAAAGGAGCUUGCUCCUUUGACGUUAGCGGCGGACGGGUGAGUAACACGUGGGCAACCUACCCUAUAGUUUGGGAUAACUCCGGGAAACCGGGGCUAAUACCGAAUAAUCUCUUUUGCUUCAUGGUGAAAGACUGAAAGACGGUUUCGGCUGUCGCUAUAGGAUGGGCCCGCGGCGCAUUAGCUAGUUGGUGAGGUAACGGCUCACCAAGGCGACGAUGCGUAGCCGACCUGAGAGGGUGAUCGGCCACACUGGGACUGAGACACGGCCCAGACUCCUACGGGAGGCAGCAGUAGGGAAUCUUCCACAAUGGGCGAAAGCCUGAUGGAGCAACGCCGCGUGAGUGAAGAAGGUUUUCGGAUCGUGAAACUCUGUUGUAAGGGAAGAACAAGUACAGUAGUAACUGGCUGUACCUUGACGGUACCUUAUUAGAAAGCCACGGCUAACUACAA